UUCUUUAAGGGAAGUGUGAAGCGAGCAGCGAGAAUUCACGAGAUUCAGUAACUUCUUGAUGAACCUACCCUAACUUACAAAGAGAUCCACUCUGUGAGAUGGCUAUCCUAUUUCCAGGCAUUGACAACUGUGUACAGGACCACAGACAGCCUGUUGACAUACCUUGCUGAGAAGGGAACAGAAGACCCCAAAGCAAAUGGACUUAAGAAGAAGAUCUCCACAGACACGUUUUUGUCUAUCAUCUACUUGCUCAUGUAUGCCAUGGCCCCAGUGACGCAGUUGUCACAAUUUUUCCAGACAGAAAACGUGGAUGUAGGUCUUGUACAGGUGAAGUUAGAUCUUUGUUUGGCUGAUCUGGAAAAGGUAAAAAGCUUGGACUCUCCUCACUCAAAGAAGCUGAUGGAAGAUCUCCCACAUGACAGCUCCACUUUCAAGGGUCAGCAUUAUAUAACCAGAACCAAUUUCAAACUGGAAGACCUUGCCAAUGAAUUUGUGGAUUCAUUGAUAGACAACAUUAA